rnacentral:rRNA from 1 species
UACGAACUGUGCGAACGUUAUUCGGAAUCACUGGGCUUACAGGGUGCGUAGGCUGCUAAUCAGGUCUGAUGUGAAAUCCCCCGGCUCAACCGGGGAACUGCGUUGGAAACCGAUUGGCUUGAGUCAGCUAGAGGUACACGGAACUUCCGGUGGAGCGGUGAAAUGUGUUGAUAUCGGAAGGAACACCAGAGGCGAAAGCGGUGUACUGGGGCUGGUCUGACGCUGAGGCACGAAAGCUAGGGUAGCGAACGGG